CCUUCUUGUGGAAAGAACUCUGUUGUCAAGGGACUAUUUUUCUCAUCCUAGUUCCAGAGCCUCUUUUAAAAAACGGAAGGAGACAGGAUUAUAGAAUAUGUGGAGCACGCAAAGGGUGUCAAGGAAACGUGGCGGGGUGGGGUCAGGGGCGUGAAGAUCUGGCCCCGCCCCCUGAAGGACUGGGAGGAGUUACAAGGGCAGAAGUAAAGUGGAGAAAGACGCAGAAGGUGUCUUUGCUAAGCAACUGCUUACCAGAGUGUCAAAUAGACUGGCCGCCGUGUGCAGGGUCCAGACUGUCUUCUUCUGUGCAUGUAUCCCAGCACCUACACAGGACCACCAUCAUGGCAGUGUUGCUCAUCCAUUCUACACCCCCCCUCUGCCAGCCCCUGCGUGCUUUCUUUCGAAGGCUUCCCUACAGCACUUCAAACAUAGCAGCCAUAGUAGCCAUUUUUCAUACUUAAGGUCUCAAACAUUCCUGUUUCCCUGGAAAGCACAAAGACUCUGGGCAUCAUGUCCCAGUGCCUAACAGAGCCUCACAAGAAUUCCAUGACUAAAGGCAUCCCAGUUCCAACCUAAACCAGUGAGAGAAGGGAAGAGAAGACUGCUUCCUCUGAAUCAUAGCAGUGCCCUUUCUAAAACAAAACAUACAGCACAGUUUUUCCUUUUUAAGAUCUUAUCUCACAAACAUACCGUGUAAAAAUUUAUGUGCAGAUUUGUUCAUUGCAGCAAUACUGGUAACAGUACUGGUAAAAGUCUCUCAUCAGGAAGGGAUUGCUUCAACUGUGGUACGUCACACAAUGGAACCCCAUGCAGCCACAAAAAGGGGUGAGGUAGGUCUAUACAUGCUAACAGUAAAACUGUCACAACUAAGCGAAAGCGCAAGUUGCAAAAAAGAGAGAGAGAAUGUGUAGUUUGAUUACAUUUCUG